CGGGGUGCACCAGGCGCGAAAACUUUACAAUGCCGGCAACGGCGAUAAGGGAACCUCGAGUGCCAGGUUAUAAAUCUGGCUGUCGUGAUGCCUAAAAAGCAUUGCAUAGCAAGGGCCGGGCAAGACCGGUGCCAGCCGCCGCGGUAACACCGGCGGCUCGAGUGGUAACCGUUAUUAUUGGGUCUAAAGGGUCUGUAGCCGGCCGGAUAAGUCUCUUGGGAAAUCCAGCAGCUCAACUGUUGGGCUUCCAGGAGAUACUGUCUGGCUCGAGGCCGGGAGAGGUGAGAGGUACUUCAGGGGUAGGGGUGAAAUCUUGUAAUCCUUGAAGGACCACCAGUGGCGAAGGCGUCUCACCAGAACGGACCUGACGGCAAGGGACGAAAGCUAGGGGCACGAACCGGAUUAGAUACCCGGGUAGUCCUAGCCGUAAACGAUACUCGCUAGGUGUCGGCCACGGUGCGACCGUGGUCGGUGCCGUAGGGAAGCCGUGAAGCGAGCCACCUGGGAAGUACGGCCGCAAGGCUGAAACUUAAAGGAAUUGGCGGGGGAGCACAAGGGCGAUUCGC
rnacentral:rRNA from 1 species